UCCACAUUUUACUUUCACUUUCACAGCCUCGGUAGGCAAGGUUAUGAACCACAUCGUGUUUUAGCAUAUCUCAUUUGAACUUACUUUUAUUUACUAUAGAAAUAAACGAACGAACUAACAAAGAUGUCCAAACUUAAGCUUAUCAGAUUGUGUUUCUGGUUUUAUCUGGUGCGAACGGUGGUCUCCAAAGAUCAUAAAAUGGGAGGUGAGCUCGUGUUGACGCCGGACAAGUCCACAGUGUCUGACCCCAUCACAAGCAUCCUAUGGAAGCAUGGGAAGGACAAGGUGGCAGAGUGGGACAAGGAUUUUGGUGGUCUGGACAUCUAUGGUGCCUUCAAAGAGCGUACAACCCUGGACCAGACUACUGGAGAGCUGAGAAUCAGUGGAUUGAAGAAAACAGAUAGUGGGGUUUAUUCUGUGGAGUUUAACAGCAAACAGCUUGACCAGACAUAUAACAUAUAUGUUAUCAAGGCAGUCCCCAAACCCACAAUCACUUCUUCCUGUAACCCAGACAAAACCUCCUGCACUCUGACCUGUGAGGGCGACACCACUGAUGCUGAACCAGUCAUCUACAGCUGGAAAGUGGGAGAGAGGGCGUCCAAUGUCUCAGACAAACAGCUAAGUGUCUCUAAAUCAACCAAUGGUAUCAAGUACACCUGCAAGCUGAGUAAUGCUGUUAGUUCAAAUGUCAGUGAGCCAGUUGGAGAGGUGUUUGGUUCAGAGCAUUCCAGUAUCGGUGCUGUUGUUGCUUCGGUUGUCGUUACCAUUGUAGUGUUUGCUGUCUUAACAGGAUUUUUGGUGUGGAAGAAAACGACAGAAUAUCCCCAAGACACCUGGAUCGACUUUUUGAGAAAGUAUUUUGGUGGAAUUUAUGGUAGAAUUUGUGGGGAUGCAGGCAACAAUCAGAAUACUGUUGCCCUGGAUACAGUUUACAGCGUUGUAGGAGAGAAGUCUUCUAGAGAUUACUCCAUGAAUCAGAAUAAUAACAAUCAGCCCACUAACACAGUCUUCUUCUCAGCUAAAGGCACCGAUGGAGUCCAGCCAGAACAAGGGAAAAGCAAUGCCGAUAAAGCUGAAAAGGGGCAGGGGAAUGAAGAUCAUAAAGUGGGAGGUGAGCUCGUGUUGACGCCUGACAAGUCCACAGUGUCUGACCCCAUCACAAGCAUCCUAUGGAAGCACGGGAAGGACAAGGUGGCAGAGUGGGACAAGGAUUUUGGUGGUCUGGACAUCUAUGGUGCCUUCAAAGAGCGUACAACCCUGGACCAGACUACUGGAGAGCUGAGAAUCAGUGGAUUGAUGAAAACAGACAGUGGAGUUUAUUCUGUGGAGUUUAACAGCAAACUGCUUGACCAGACAUAUACACUGUCUGUUAUCAAGGCAGUCCCCAAACCCACCAUCACUUCUUCCUGUAACCCAGACAAAACCUCCUGCACUCUGACCUGUGAGGGCGACACCACUGAUGCUGAACCAGUCACCUACAGCUGGAAAGUGGGAGAGGGGGCGUGGGAGGACUUAGACAAACAGAUUAAUGUCAAUAAGAGUGACACUGGCAAAUCAACCAACAGUUACAAGUACAUCUGCAAAAUGAAAAACCCUGUUAGUGAAGAAGUCAGUGAUCCAAUUGGACAAGGGUUUGGUCAAAAGGCAGUCCCUAAACCCACAAUCACUUAUACCUGCAGCACAGACAAAAUCUGCACUCUGACCUGUGAAGGCGACACCACUGAUGCUGAACCCGUCAUCUACAGCUGGAAAGUGGGGGAGGGGGCGUGGGAGGUCAUAGGAAAACGGCUGAUUGUCUCUAAGAGCGACACUGGCAAAUCAACCAACAGUUACAAGUACAUCUGCAAGCUGAAGAACUCUGCUGGAGAAGAGGAAGUCAGUGAUCCAGUUGGAUCGGUGUUUGGUCCAGAGCCUUCUGAAGUCGGUGGUGGUGGGAUUGUUGGUGUUGUCGUCAUUAUAGCCAUUGUAGCGCUUGUUGCCAUUGUCAUAACAGUUUGGUUGGUGUGGAAGAAGAAAAAAGAAUAUCCCCAAGACACCUGGAUUGACUUUUUGAGAAAGUAUUGUGGUGGAAUGUGUGGGGUUCCGUUAACGCCCAACACCAAAACGGGGGAAGAUGGCGCAGACAAAGCUGGAAAGGGGCCGGGGAAUGAAGAAGCCAACCUGAUGAUGGAGUCGAAAGACCACCAGUAAAGAAUCCAGUGUUUUUGCAUGCUGGUGGUCUUCCUGGUGGGGUAACUGAGGAGCAGAAACAUGGGGUUUGAAGGCUCUCAGUACAUGACUCCAUAUCUGUUAAAUUGAGACAAACGACCAAGAAGAGAGAAACAUGUUUGAACUGUUGGAGAAAUUUUAAAUGAAGGAAAACAAGCAAAUAUUGCACAUAGGAACUUCCAUGCAGUCAGAUGAACUAUAGUGAGCUACAACGUAUUGGCACAAUGACAUCUUGAUGUUUUGGCUCUGUACUCCAGCACUGUUCCCCGGGCGCCACAGACUUGGAUGUCGAUUAAGGCAGCCCCCGCACCUCUGAUUCAGAGGGGUUGGGUUAAAUGCGGAAGACUAAUUUCAGUUGAAGGCAUUCAGUGACUAGCUAUCCCCCUUUCCCUUUUGGAUUUGAAAUGAUGGCUAUAAAUGUUAUAGUGCAGACUGUCAGCUUUAACCCAAUAUGGAUGAGGAUACCCUCAAAUUAAAGCUGACAGUCUGCACUAACUUUUUUAGGGUAGGGGGCAGCAUUUGGAAUUUUGGAUGAAAAGUGUGCCCAAAGUAAACUACCUGCUACGCAGGCCCAGAAGCUAGGAUAUGCAUAUAAUUGGUAGAUUUGGAUAGAAAACACUCAAAACUGUUAAAAUAAUGUCUGAGUAUAACAGAACUGAUAUGGCAGGUGAAAACCUGAGGAAAAUCCAUUAUUUUGAAAUGGUUCUUUUUCCAUUGAAAGCCUAUCCACCAUUUAAAGGGAUAGGACUCAGAUUCCGGUCCCUAUGGCUUCCACUAGUUGUGAACAGGCUUUAGACAUUGUUUCAGGCUUUUAUUAUGAAAACUUAGGGAGAAUGACCACUGUGUCAGUGGAUAGUGAGAUGUCUCCAGAGCUGGUUACUGCGCACGACCGAGAGUGCGCCUUGUUUUUAAUUUAUAUUGACGACGCUAUUGUCCGGGUUAAAAUAUUAUCGAUUUAGGCUAAAAACAACCUGAGGAUUGAUUAUAAACAUCGUUUGACAUGUUUCUAAGAACUUUACGGAUACUAUUUGGAAUUUUCGUCUGCCCGUUGUGACCGCAUUUGAGCUAUUGGAUUACUGAACAAAACGCGCCAACAAGAUGGAGGUUUUUGGAUAUAAAGAGGGACUUCAUCGAACAAAACAAACAUUUGUGUAACUGGGAGUCUUCUGAGUGCAACCAUAUGAAGAUAAACAAAGAGGCAGUCCUUAAACCCACAAUCACUUCCUGUAACUCCAACAACACCUCCUGCACUCUGACCUGUGAAGGCGACACCACUGAUGCUGAACCCGUCACAGCUUGAAAGUGGGAGAGGGGGCGUGGGAGGACUUUGACAAACAGCUGAUUGUCUCUUAAGAGUGACACUGGCAAGUCAACCAGCAGUUACAAGUUCACCUGCAAGCUGAUAGUUGUUAGUGGGGAAGUCAGUGAGCCAGUUAGACAGGUGUUUGGCUCAGGUGAGUGGUAAUGAUAGGCCAGGGUGGUAGGUAUCCUAGCUGUUAAGAGCACUGGGCCAGUAUCCGAGAGGUCGUUUGUUCGAAUCCCUGAGCCAACUAGGUAAAAAAAAUCAUCUCUGUGCCCUAGAGCUAGGCACUUAACCCUCAUUUCUCUGGAUAGGAGUGUCUGCUAAAGGACUCAAAUGUAAAUGGGCCUGAUCAUCAAUACUGAUUAUGUUAAUACAGAUGACAUUUAUAAAAUGAAAAUAAAAAAAUACAAACAUUUUCAAAAAUCAGUCUUCAUGUCAGAGCUGGUACUGCCAUUUUAAUUGCAGCUGGUGACCCUACCCUAUUUAGUUUGACCACUUGUAUUGGCGUUCAUAGACAUUUAAUCAGUAAGGACAGUACAUUUUGUCAUCACUGCCCUGGGGGUGGGUAGGUCUCUCACACAGACAGGGGUUUAUGAUGGUCGUAAAUACCGAAAAGUUGAGAAUCAUUUUAACACGGAGAGACACUUGGACAUCAAAAGGUUGAAUAAGUGAACAGUAUUGUACUGUUUUUAUGUAACCUUUUUAUAACAAUGCAAGUCAAUUAAGAACAAAUUUAUUUACAAUGACGGCCUACCGGGGAACAGUGGGCCUUGUUCAGGUGCAGAAUGUGGUGGAAUAUUGACUCAGAAAUAUAACACUCUUACAGGAACUUGUGAAUUCAAAAUAUACUUUGCUACAUUGUAUUAAAGCUGAGCCCUUCUAUGGAAAGACUAAAUUCUCUAAUCACAGAGUUCUGACUUUAAAGACUUUCCCGUCUUUACAUAGCACCACCUUGUAUGUACAUGAACAACUCCUUUUGGCCUUAUAGUUCUCAUAUAGAAUCCCCUCCCUCUAUAUGAAAUUAACUCCUCUUGACGUUUCUCCACCAUUAUCUUUCCAUCUUCUUGCUUGUUAACGCCCACAUCUUUAAUACUUUUUGUUACAGAAUCUGGGAUUCCAUCUUGGAUUUGAAAAUAUGUGAGAAAUGUUAAACUGAUUUGUCUACUUCCUAGAGAACUAUAGGUACAUCCUCUGUACCAACAAAGACCAGUACAGCUACAGUCUCUGUACCAGAAGAAACCAGUUGAAAAGCACUUGUUGAAAUUCGUUUGUUGGACAAAUAUUUAGAUUCUGUACAGGGAAGGUUUUUUUCUCUUCUGUAAACUCGUCUUUUUCUCUCUCUUGGGUCAUUCUGUAUCAUAUUGUUAUCAUGUAUGUAAUGUGCUGUCAUGUUUAGGCUCUGCAACUAUCUUUUUUUUGCUUUGAAUAAUGUGAAUUAUAAUAAAAUGUUGAACCAUACAACAAGAGGGCAAAAAUGUACAGUAUCAGUCAAAAGUUUGGACACAUCUACUCAUUCCAGGGUUUCUUUAUUUUGACUAUUUUCUACAUUGUAAAAUAAUAGUGAAGACAUCAAAACUAUGAAAUAACACAUGGAAUCAUGUAGUAACCAAAAAAGUGUUAACCUGUUGAGUGUAGGGGGCAGUAUUUUGAUGUUUGGAUGAAAAAUGUACCCAAAUGAAACUACCUAUUUCUCAGGCCCAGAAACUAGAAUAUGCAUAUAAUUAGAUAUAGAAAACACUAAAGUUUCCAAAACUGUCAAAAUAUUGUCUGUGAGUAUAACAGAACUGAUAUUGCAGAUGAAAACCUGAGGAAAAUCCAAAGAGGAAGUGGCUUCUAUUUUGAAAGCACCCUGUUCCAUUGCAUGCCUUCCCUCCAUUUAAAGGGAUAUCAACCAGAUUCCUUUCCCUAUGGCUUCCACAUGGUGUGAACAGUCUUUAGACAUAGUUUCAGCCUUUUAUUCUGAAAAAUGAGCGAGAACAAUCACAUCGUGUCAGUGGAUGGCUGGGUGCCAGCAGAGUUUUGCAUGCACAACAGCUUGGAGCAGACAUUUUAUUUCCCUCUCCUACUGAAAAAGCUACGGUCCAGUUGAAAUAUUAUUGAUUAUUUAUUGUAAAAUCAACCUGAGGAUUGAUUUUUUUUUAAAUUACCGAUACUAUUUGGAAUUUUCGUCUGUCCCGUCAUGGCUGCUCGAGCCAUUUAAUUACUGAAUAAAACGCGCCAACCAAAUGGAGGUAUUUUGGAUAUAAAAAUAAUCUUUAUGGAACAAAAGGAACAUUUUUUUUGUAACUGUGAGUCUCGUGAGUGCAAACAUCCGAAGAUCAUCAAAGGUAAGCGAUUCAUUUUAUUGCUUUUCUGACUUUCGUGACCAAUCUACUUUGCUGCUAGCUGUUUGUCAUGUUUUGUCAGCUGAGAGAGAUGUCCUUACAUAAACGCCUGGAUAGCUUUUGCCGAAAAGCUUUUUUGAAAUCUGAGACGCCAGGUGGAUUAACAACAAACUAAACUGUGUUUUGCUAUAUUGCACUUGUGAUUUCUGGUAACUCUAAUGAGCUUAUCCUCUACAGCAGAGGUAACUCUGGGUCUUCGAUUCCUGUGGCGGUCCUCAUAAGAGUUUAAUGCUUUUUGCGACUGCACUUGAAUAAACAUUCAAAGUUCUUGACAUUUUCUGGAUUGACUGACCUUCAUGUCCUAAGUUAUGAUGAACUGUCAUUUCUCUUUGCUUAUUUGAGCUGUUCUUGCCAUAAUAUGGACUUGGUCUUUUACCAAAUAGGGCUAUGUUCUGUAUACCACCCAUACCUGGUCACAACACAACACAACUGAUUGGCUCAAACUUUUAACAAGGCACACCUGACUACCUCAUGAAGUUGGUUGAGGAAAUGCCAAGAGUGUAAAUAGCUGUCAACAAGGGAAAGGGUGAGUGCUUUGAAGAAUCUAAAAAAUAAAAUAUAUUUUGAUUUAACACUUUUUUGGUUACUACAUGACUCGGUGUGUUAUUUUAUAGUUUUGAUUUCUUAUUAUUCUACAAUGUAGAAAAUAGUAAAAAAUUAAGAAAAACCCUUGAAUGAGUAGGUGUGUCCAAACUUUUGAAUGAUACUGUAUAUAUAAAUAAAAGCUGUGUUCGAAUAUACCCAUACUAAUAUACUGUAUACUACAUAAUUAAUGAGUAUAUACUACAUACUAACAUCCAGCCAGGACCAGGUUGUGUCAGCUCUACACUCCAGAUCUCCAGUGCGCCUACACUGUCCAGUACGUCCUGAGCCUGCUCCCCGCACUCGCCAUGAGGUGUGUGUCACCAGCCCAGUACCACCAGUGCCGACACCAUGCAUCAGUCCACCAGUGAGCCUCCAGGGUCCAGUACGCCCUGUUCCUGCUCCUCGCACUCGCCCUGAGGUGCGUGUCCCCAGCCCGGUAUCACCAGUGCCGGCACCAGGCCUACAGUGCGCCUCGGCAGUCCAGAGCGUCCGGCCGGCGGUAGUAUUCAGUCCAGAGCAUCCGGCGACAGUAUCAAGUCCAGAGCGUCCGGCGACAGUACCCAGUCCAGAGCGUCCGGCGACAGUACCCAGUCCAGAGCGUCCGCCGACAGUUCACAGACCGGAACCUCCAACGACGGGCCACAGUCCGGAACCUCCAACGUCAGGCCACAGUCCGGAGCUUCCAGCAACGAUCUCCAGCCCGGGGUCUCCAGUGACGGUCCCCAGUCCAGAACCUCCGGCGAUGAUCCACGCAGCGAGUGUCCCCAGCCCGGGGCCUACGGCGAGGAUCCGCAGUCCAGAGCCUCCGGCGAUGAUCCACGGGUCAGUGCUACAAGAGCGGAGGGAUCAGUGUAAUGAAGGGAGGCGGCGUCCAGAACCAGAGCCGCCACUGAGGUUAGAUGCCCACCCAGACCCUCCCAUAUAGGUUUAGGUUUGCGGUCACGCCCUGACCUUAGUUAUCUUUGUUUUCUUUAUUAUUUUGUUUAGGUCAGGAUGUGACAACUGUGGUUUGUUUAGUUUUUGUAUUGUCUAGGGGGUUUUGUAUGUCUAUGGUAAAAUGCAAAUGAAUUACUUAAAAAUCAUACAAUGUGAUUUUCUGGAUUUUUGUCUCUCACAGUUGAAGUGUGCCUAUGAUAAAAAUUACAGACCUCUACAUGCUUUGUAAGAAGGAAAACCUGCAAAAUCGGCAGUGUAUCAAAUACUUGUUCUCCCCACUGUAAGUUUCUAGGCUUACCACGCUGCGCCUUGGUCUCCUCCAUAACGACCGUGAUAGCGUAGAAAUCAGCCUUACAAUACAGGCAGUAUGCCCGUGUAUCAUCUCCAAUAAACGGCUUCAACCAGCCUUUGAAUUCAG